rnacentral:tRNA from 1 species
GACAGUUUGGCGGAGUGGUUAACGCGCUUGCCUCGAAUGAAAGCAAGUCCAUUCGUGGGCGCAUGUUCGAAUCAUGCAGCUGUCG